AGGAGGUGAUCUGUAGAUUUUUCUUUUUCUACUUUGCCCUCUGGGCCAUCCUUCCUAAGAGAACAAAAUGAGAAUAAGAACAAAAAGGAGAAGGAGGGAAAAGAAGUUUAUCAUAACCAACUAAUGCAUCAACAGAGUCUGAAUAAGUGAAAUGUGCCAUAUCCACAGUCCUCAACUUCAGCCAAGGGACAGAGGCCCCUACCUUAUUAAAAAAAAACAACAAAGAAAGAAAAGAAAAGGAAUCUUAAGAAGACAGAGGCAGAGAGAAACGUAGAAGGAUGAGGAUGGAAAGUAGGUCAAUGGGUGAUUGGUAUUGAUUAAAGUCUCCAAGCAAAGCAUGGUAGUAGACUGGAAGAGCAAAAGACAUAUUUCCAGGUGCUCCUGACUGUUAGCCAAUAAACACAUAUCAAUCACUACUAGAGAUUAAGACCUAUUUGCUCCACAAAUGUACAGCCAAGGAACCAUACCAAUCCCACUCAUAAAUCUCUACUGCUUAUUUUCUAGUAGAAUGAAAACUUCUUGAGGUCUUGUAUUGAACUUUUUCCUCCCUUCUCACAUCUUACUCAACAAAAAGACCACUCACUAUCCCUACCCUACAGCCAGAAGCCUGGGAUGUUACAGAGAGUCCUCUGCCUAGCCUGAGGAGCAAUCAUUCCCAUCUCCCCCUUGGAGCUGUUCUCCUUGCCUUGGGGUAUCUCAGCCCUCACAUCCAGGACCUGUCAUGAGACUUAGAAUGGAAAGGGACUUUAGAGAUCAAUCUAGUCCAAUCCCUUCAUUUUAGAGUUGAGAAAGCUGAGGCUCAAGGAGAUUAAGUGAGUUGCUCAAGGUUAGGUAGCUAGGAAGUAAAGGGUUGGAUUUUGAACCCAGGCUAUAGGAACAUUUAUCUAGAGCUGGAAGGGUUACAAAUGAAGAAACUGAGGCCCAAGGGGUUAAAUGAUUUACCCAAGCUUACACAAGAAAUCACAUCAGAGGCAGAAUUUGAACCCAGGUUCUUUGUUAAAUCAAUUGCUCUUUCCAUACUAUACUG